rnacentral:misc_RNA from 1 species
UUUUUUUUUUUUUUUUUGCUCUCUCCUCAACAAUGUUGAUAUUUUAUCAUUGGUUUCUGCUCUUUAUUUGCUUUCUUGGUGUGGUUUCUUUGUUUCUUUUCAAUCAGCCAGGUUGUUGGCUUGUGAGAAGCAUUUAUUAUUAUUAUUAUCUCUCAUCAGCAGUCACUUUUGUUUUAAAACGUGAUGGGGACAGGGUGCCUCUCAGGCUCCACUAGGACAGGUUGAACAGGUCAGACUAUAAAAUUGAUUUUACGUCUCGUAUUUUUCACGAAGUUGACCUUGUUGUGAUGUGUUACUGAACAAUCAGCGCAAAUUUAGUCGAUGGAAUUAAACUAAUAGACACAUUUAAAACUAAUUCAAUUUGGAGAGAAACCAUAAUGCCUGCACCUUUCCCUUAAGGCUUUGUUUGGAUGAGGGUGAACAUGCAAAAAGUACAGAGCUAAUUUGUCACUGGUGAACAUGCUGCUAGAGGCAUUUGAGCUAUUAUUUUUGCUUUCGGACAAUUAUUUCAACUCUUUGGUUUUCAGAUGAAGGAUGGUUAGAUAUAGGUGUAACACUUGAGCAUUUCAAAAUCUAAGAAAUUUUGCAUACCAAUGUUGACGCUAAUAACUGAAUCUAAGUAGCAUAGCUUAUAGAUAUAUACAUC